UUAAGCGACUAAGCGUACACGGUGGAUGCCCUGGCAGUCAGAGGCGAUGAAGGACGUGCUAAUCUGCGAUAAGCGUCGGUAAGGUGAUAUGAACCGUUAUAACCGGCGAUUUCCGAAUGGGGAAACCCAGUGUGUUUCGACACACUAUCAUUAACUGAAUCCAUAGGUUAAUGAGGCGAACCGGGGGAACUGAAACAUCUAAGUACCCCGAGGAAAAGAAAUCAACCGAGAUUCCCCCAGUAGCGGCGAGCGAACGGGGAGGAGCCCAGAGCCUGAAUCAGUGUGUGUGUUAGUGGAAGCGUCUGGAAAGGCGCGCGAUACAGGGUGACAGCCCCGUACACAAAAAUGCACAUGCUGUGAGCUCGAUGAGUAGGGCGGGACACGUGGUAUCCUGUCUGAAUAUGGGGGGACCAUCCUCCAAGGCUAAAUACUCCUGACUGACCGAUAGUGAACCAGUACCGUGAGGGAAAGGCGAAAAGAACCCCGGCGAGGGGAGUGAAAAAGAACCUGAAACCGUGUACGUACAAGCAGUGGGAGCACAGAGCAAUCUGUGUGACUGCGUACCUUUUGUAUAAUGGGUCAGCGACUUAUAUUCUGUAGCAAGGUUAACCGAAUAGGGGAGCCGAAGGGAAACCGAGUCUUAACUGGGCGUUAAGUUGCAGGGUAUAGACCCGAAACCCGGUGAUCUAGCCAUGGGCAGGUUGAAGGUUGGGUAACACUAACUGGAGGACCGAACCGACUAAUGUUGAAAAAUUAGCGGAUGACUUGUGGCUGGGGGUGAAAGGCCAAUCAAACCGGGAGAUAGCUGGUUCUCCCCGAAAGCUAUUUAGGUAGCGCCUCGUGAAUUCAUCUCCGGGGGUAGAGCACUGUUUCGGCAAGGGGGUCAUCCCGACUUACCAACCCGAUGCAAACUGCGAAUACCAGAGAAUGUUAUCACGGGAGACACACGGCGGGUGCUAACGUCCGUCGUGAAGAGGGAAACAACCCAGACCGCCAGCUAAGGUCCCAAAGUCAUGGUUAAGUGGGAAACGAUGUGGGAAGGCCCAGACAGCCAGGAUGUUGGCUUAGAAGCAGCCAUCAUUUAAAGAAAGCGUAAUAGCUCACUGGUCGAGUCGGCCUGCGCGGAAGAUGUAACGGGGCUAAACCAUGCACCGAAGCUGCGGCAGCGACACUGUGUGUUGUUGGGUAGGGGAGCGUUCUGUAAGCCUGUGAAGGUGUGCUGUGAGGCAUGCUGGAGGUAUCAGAAGUGCGAAUGCUGACAUAAGUAACGAUAAAGCGGGUGAAAAGCCCGCUCGCCGGAAGACCAAGGGUUCCUGUCCAACGUUAAUCGGGGCAGGGUGAGUCGACCCCUAAGGCGAGGCCGAAAGGCGUAGUCGAUGGGAAACAGGUUAAUAUUCCUGUACUUGGUGUUACUGCGAAGGGGGGACGGAGAAGGCUAUGUUGGCCGGGCGACGGUUGUCCCGGUUUAAGCGUGUAGGCUGGUUUUCCAGGCAAAUCCGGAAAAUCAAGGCUGAGGCGUGAUGACGAGGCACUACGGUGCUGAAGCAACAAAUGCCCUGCUUCCAGGAAAAGCCUCUAAGCAUCAGGUAACAUCAAAUCGUACCCCAAACCGACACAGGUGGUCAGGUAGAGAAUACCAAGGCGCUUGAGAGAACUCGGGUGAAGGAACUAGGCAAAAUGGUGCCGUAACUUCGGGAGAAGGCACGCUGAUAUGUAGGUGAAGUCCCUCGCGGAUGGAGCUGAAAUCAGUCGAAGAUACCAGCUGGCUGCAACUGUUUAUUAAAAACACAGCACUGUGCAAACACGAAAGUGGACGUAUACGGUGUGACGCCUGCCCGGUGCCGGAAGGUUAAUUGAUGGGGUCAGCGCAAGCGAAGCUCUUGAUCGAAGCCCCGGUAAACGGCGGCCGUAACUAUAACGGUCCUAAGGUAGCGAAAUUCCUUGUCGGGUAAGUUCCGACCUGCACGAAUGGCGUAAUGAUGGCCAGGCUGUCUCCACCCGAGACUCAGUGAAAUUGAACUCGCUGUGAAGAUGCAGUGUACCCGCGGCAAGACGGAAAGACCCCGUGAACCUUUACUAUAGCUUGACACUGAACAUUGAGCCUUGAUGUGUAGGAUAGGUGGGAGGCUUUGAAGUGUGGACGCCAGUCUGCAUGGAGCCGACCUUGAAAUACCACCCUUUAAUGUUUGAUGUUCUAACGUGGACCCGUGAUCCGGGUUGCGGACAGUGUCUGGUGGGUAGUUUGACUGGGGCGGUCUCCUCCUAAAGAGUAACGGAGGAGCACGAAGGUUGGCUAAUCCUGGUCGGACAUCAGGAGGUUAGUGCAAUGGCAUAAGCCAGCUUGACUGCGAGCGUGACGGCGCGAGCAGGUGCGAAAGCAGGUCAUAGUGAUCCGGUGGUUCUGAAUGGAAGGGCCAUCGCUCAACGGAUAAAAGGUACUCCGGGGAUAACAGGCUGAUACCGCCCAAGAGUUCAUAUCGACGGCGGUGUUUGGCACCUCGAUGUCGGCUCAUCACAUCCUGGGGCUGAAGUAGGUCCCAAGGGUAUGGCUGUUCGCCAUUUAAAGUGGUACGCGAGCUGGGUUUAGAACGUCGUGAGACAGUUCGGUCCCUAUCUGCCGUGGGCGCUGGAGAACUGAGGGGGGCUGCUCCUAGUACGAGAGGACCGGAGUGGACGCAUCACUGGUGUUCGGGUUGUCAUGCCAAUGGCACUGCCCGGUAGCUAAAUGCGGAAGAGAUAAGUGCUGAAAGCAUCUAAGCACGAAACUUGCCCCGAGAUGAGUUCUCCCUGACCCUUUAAGGGUCCUGAAGGAACGUUGAAGACGACGACGUUGAUAGGCCGGGUGUGUAAGCGCAGCGAUGCGUUGAGCUAACCGGUACUAAUGAACCGUGAGGCUUAACCUU
rnacentral:rRNA from 1 species